rnacentral:tRNA from 1 species
GCACCUAUAGCUCAGUAGGAUAGAGCAACGGUUUCCUAAACCGUGUGCCACAGGUUCGACUCCUGUUAGGUGCA